GACGAACGCUGGCGGCGUGCUUAACACAUGCAAGUCGAACGGAAAGGCCCUGCUUUUGUGGGGUGCUCGAGUGGCGAACGGGUGAGUAACACGUGAGUAACCUGCCCUUGACUUUGGGAUAACUUCAGGAAACUGGGGCUAAUACCGGAUAGGAGCUCCUGCUGCAUGGUGGGGGUUGGAAAGUUUCGGCGGUUGGGGAUGGACUCGCGGCUUAUCAGCUUGUUGGUGGGGUAGUGGCUUACCAAGGCUUUGACGGGUAGCCGGCCUGAGAGGGUGACCGGCCACAUUGGGACUGGGAUACGGCCCAGACUCCUACGGGAGGCAGCAGUGGGGAAUAUUGCACAAUGGGCGGAAGCCUGAUGCAGCAACGCCGCUUGCGGGAUGACGGCCUUCGGGUUGUAAACCGCUUUCGCCUGUGACGAAGCGUGAGUGACGGUAAUGGGUAAAGAAGCACCGGCUAACUACGU
rnacentral:rRNA from 1 species